UACGUAGGCAGCAAGCGUUGUUCGGAGUUACUGGGCGUAAAGAGUGCGUAGGUGGUGCCCUAAGUCUGUUGUGAAAUCUCCCGGCUUAACUGGGAGGGUGCGGUGGAAACUGGGGUGCUUGAGUGUGGGAGAGGUAAGCGGAAUUCCUGGUGUAGCGGUGAAAUGCGUAGAUAUCAGGAGGAACACCGGUGGUGUAGACGGCUUACUGGACCACGACUGACACUGAGGCACGAAAGCGUGGGUAGCAAACAAG
rnacentral:rRNA from 1 species